AGACAGACAGACAGACAGGUUUGAUCUCUUUAUGGUCCGUGUUUCCGGCUGUUCGGAGCGUGUCCUGCAGGAGGCGCCGCUGCUCCAGGCUCGCGCGCCGGAAGUGAGUUUGAGUUGAGUUGAGUUUGCAGAAGUUCUGACUCACUGGAGUUCAGAAAGGCAUUAGAUUCUCCCUCCUGCACUUUAAACUCUCCCGCAGCACAUGCAGAAAUACAGCAACGAGCACGUGUUGUACUGACGGGUAUAUCACGAUACUGAAGACGAGCACAGAUGUUAACUGAUGGACUGGAGUGCUGUGGAUUACUUGUGGAUUAUUGUGAUGUUUUUAUCAGCUGUUUGGACUCUCAUUCUGACGGCACCCAUUCACUGCAGAGCAUCCAUUGCUGAGACACUGAUGCAGUGCUACAUUUCUACAAACCUGAUGAAGAAACACACUCAUCCUGAUCUCAGAUGAACUGAGGAGAUGCGCUUGUAGACGUGAGGAACUCCUGACCCCGGGAUGACCCCUGACCCCACGUGACCUGAGUAGAACUAAACUCCUCUGGGACUGAGUGAGUGUGUGCAGCGUUGAGUCCUGAAUGUGAGUUUGCUCCAGCUCUUCUCAUCCCUGAUUAGGAAACUCAAACAGUCUGGAACAUGGGUUUCCUGUAUGUGGAGACGAGAAGCUUGAGGAUGAUGAGGAUGAUGAAGGGGUGAAUAUAAUGCAGGUCUAGAGCUGACCGUUUGCAGUGGACGAUCAUCCUCAGAGUCAUAUCGCAUCAUAUUCUCAUCAUGAAAGAGUUCUGAUUAAUUCACCGUCUGAUCUGAUCCAGGUCGACAGGUAUCCCAUGAUUCCCCAUUUCCCCCCGCUAACAGCUAAUCGCUAAUGACAUGUGGGAGUUUCUGAUGUACUUCAAAAUAAAGGGAUGAGAUCAAGAGACGGCGAGAGCUAUUGUGUUCCUCAGAGACACAGAAGAUCAUCUCAGUUUGAUCACACACACACACACACACACACACACACACACACACACACCUGUCAGGAUCAUUCGCACUGCAGUGACACAUUCCACAUCGUCACUGUAACGAUGAUCCUGAUGUCGUUAAUGACGGAGAACCACGUCUCGUC
ensembl:lncRNA